CCGUAAAAAAAAACUCUCAUUUCUCUUCAAAAAUGGAUUCUCUCAGACAACAGUCACUGACCCCUAGCUUCCUCUACUCCUCUUCUUCCUCCGCUAAACCUUUCUCCCUCUCUAACCUCCUCCACUCCGAACAACCAUCGCUUUCUCCGUCUUCAUCGUCGUCAACGACCACUAUGGACAGCAAGAGCAGUGGCAGAUUUGUGGUCCCGGCACCGAGGGAGCCUGGGAAGAAGAUCGAGAUUUAACGAAUAAGGAUCCAAACAAGGUUGUUUCCCUAUCAUGGGCUGCUAUCAAUGCUGGGGAUCGGGUUAAUAGUUCCUUGAAAGACAUGGCAGUGGUGAUGAAGCAAUUGGAUGGGGCUGAUGAGGCGAUCAAAUCUUUUCGUCAUCUCUACCCCUAUGAUUCUCGGGAAUCUAUUGAGAAUGUGCUAGUUGAACUCUACAAGGGGAACAUGAAUCAUCUCGAAGGGUCAAAUCUGAACUUCUGGUUCAGGUAGAUGGUGUAAACAAUAUUCCCACUUGUGAAGAUGGCCAUCGGAAAAUAGUGAUGGUUUUGGCAGCUACAAACUUUUCUUGGGACAUAGAUGAGGCACUAAGAUUGGUUCGUUGUCUUCUGGAGGUUGGAAAAGCAUAUUUAUAUUCCAUUUCCAAAUUUUGAGAGUCGUAAAGAGCUUAUUAGGAUCAAUUUGAAAACUAUUGAGAUCUUGGAUCAAAUCAAAUCAUUCUUUGAGUUUUUAUUGUUAGGCCACACUUCGCCUUGUCACCUAGAGGUUGCCACUGAUGUAGAUAUUGAUGAAGUUGCUCGCAGGACGGAGGGAUACAGUGAAGAUGCUCUAACUAACGUUUGCAGAGAUGCUUCUUUGAAUGGCAUGAGGUGAAAGAUAACAAGCAAGGCACGAGAUGAGAUUAAGAACAUGCCUAAGGAUGAGAUUUCAAAUGAUCCUGUUGCAAUGUGUGAUUUUGAAGAAGCCUUGUGGAAGGUUCAGCGCAGUAUUUCCCAAGCAGAUAUGGAGAAGCAGGGGGGGUGGUUCCCGGAAUUUGGAUCAGCCUAAGGGAGAUGAGACCCAUCUUAAGAUGAAGACUACUGCUGAUUGGUAUUUUCUUUGCAUGUUUUUCACUAAGAACCUGGCUUUUUUAUUGUAGCUUACACGUACGAUUUCAUUCAUGGCUGAGAAUCUAACAAUGGUGAUCCAUAUGUUGAAUUGCGUGUUUGGAUAUUUUCAGCAUGCUUGUAGCAAAAGUGGGGUGAAUAAGAACUGUUUGCCAAAAUGAUAUCCAAUCCCUUCUUUCUUUCUUUCUUAUAGAGAAAAGUUUUUAUUUAUUCUCAGAUAGUCUUGAAAACUCGAUGUCAAUCAAUUUUUUGAUAGCUAUCUUUAUUUCAACAUAA